rnacentral:misc_RNA from 1 species
GAUGAAGAACGUAGCGAAAUGCGAUACGUAAUGUGAACUGCAGAAUUCAGUGAAUCAUCGAGUCUUUGAACGCACAUUGCGCCCCCUGGUAUUCCGGGGGGCAUGCCUGUCCGAGCGUCAUUGCUGCCCUCAAGCACGGCUUGUGUGUUGGGCCUCCGUCCUCCUCCCGGGGGACGGGCCCGAAAGGCAGCGGCGGCACCGCGUCCGGUCCUCGAGCGUAUGGGGCUUCGUCACCCGCUCUUGUAGGCCCGGCCGGCGCUUGCCGACACAUCAAUCUUUUUUCCAGGUUGACCUCGGAUCAGGUAGGGAUACCCGCUGAACUUAAGCAUAUCAAUAAGCGGAGGA